rnacentral:rRNA from 1 species
AGUUUGAUCCUGGCUCAGGACGAACGCUGGCGGCGUGCUUAACACAUGCAAGUCGAACGAUGAUGUGAUCUUUCGGGGUCGCGGAUUAGUGGCGAACGGGUGAGUAACACGUGAGUAAUCUGCCCUUCACUUCGGGAUAAGCCCUGGAAACGGGGUCUAAUACUGGAUAUGACUCGUCUCCGCAUGGGGGCGGGUGGAAAGUUUUUUCGGUGGGGGAUGUGCUCGCGGCCUAUCAGCUUGUUGGUGAGGUAAUGGCUUACCAAGGCGACGACGGGUAGCCGGCCUGAGAGGGUGAUCGGCCACACUGGGACUGAGACACGGCCCAGACUCCUGCGGGAGGCAGCAGUGGGGAAUAUUGCACAAUGGGCGGAAGCCUGGAUGCAGCGACGCCGCGUGAGGGAUGGAGGCCUUCGGGUUGUGAACCUCUUUCGGCAGGGAAGAAGCUUUGGUGACGGUAACCUGCAGAAGAAGCACCGGGCUAACUACGUGCCAGCAGCCGCGGUAAUACGUAGGGUGCGAGCGUUGUCCGGAAUUAUUGGGSGUAAAGAGCUUGUAGGCGGUUUGUYGCGUYUGCUGUGAAAUUCCGGGGCUUAACCCUGGACGUGCAGUGGGUACGGGCAGGCUGGAGUGUGGUAGGGGAGACUGGAAUUCCUGGUGUAGCGGUGAAAUGCGCAGAUAUCAGGAGGAACACCGAUGGCGAAGGCAGGUCUCUGGGCCAUUACUGACGCUGAGAAGCGAAAGCAUGGGUAGCGAACAGGAUUAGAUACCCUGGUAGUCCAUGCCGUAAANGUUGGGCGCUGGGUGUGGGGCUNUUUCCACGGGUUYUGUGCCGUAGCUAACGCAUUAAGCGCCCCGCCUGGGGAGUACGGCCGCAAGGCUAAAACUCAAAGGAAUUGACGGGGGCCCGCACAAGCGGCGGAWCAUGCGGAUUAAUUYGAUNCAANGCGAARAACCUUACCAAGGCUUGACAUGCGCUGGUUGCUUCCANAGAUGGUUGUUCCUUUUGGCCNGGCGUACANNGUGGUGCAUGGUUGUCGUCAGCUCGUGUCGUGARAUGUUGGGUUAAGUCCCGCAACGAGCGCAACCCUCGUUCCCAUGUUUGCCAGCACGUKAUGGUGGGGACUCAUGGGAGACUGCCGGGGUCAACUCGGAGGAAGGUGGGGAUGACGUCAAAUCAUCAUGCCCCUUAUGUCUUGGGCUUCACGCAUGCUACAAUGGCCNGGUACAGAGUGCUGCGAUACUUGUGAGGUGGAGCGAAUCACUUAAAGCCNGGUCUCANGUUCGGAUUGGGGUCUGCAACUCGACCCCAUGAAGUCGGAGUCGCUAGUAAUCGCAGAUCAGCAACGCUGCGGUGAAUACGUUCCCGGGCCUUGUACACACCGCCCGUCAAGUCAUGAAAGUUGGUAACACCCGAAGCCGGUGGCCAUAACCGUUUUUGCGGGGGGAGCUGUCGAAGGUGGGACUGGCGAUUAGGACUAAGUCNGUAACAACGGUACGCNGUACCNGGAACGGUGCCGGCUGGAUCACCUCCUUA